AGGAUCAAUCUGGGAUUUUUCUCUAAAGUGACCUGAGGCAUCAUUUGUCUAGGGCACGUUUUCUUGUGGCCUCAGAAGGUAAUGCUCUGAGCCAUUUGGUCCAGGGGGCACAUAGGGCAUCACUUUUAUGUAGCAGUUGUGCCAGGGCCUGGGGUAAGGGCAGAAACUAAUGUCCACAGACAAUGCCAGUUACAUGCCAAAUGCACCAAUAUGAAGACAAAGCCACUAAGCCGCAGCUGCCUUCUUUCAGGCAACCCACUUUUGUGCUAAAUCACCCCGAAGGCUUCUUUUGUCAGGAUGAUGCAAAGACCAUAAGUAACAGCAGCCAUUCAUUCAAGGAUGUAGAUAAAAGUAGUUCCCUAAAACUAGGAGUGGUGUGAAUAAUAUUUAUUCCUUGCCUCUAAGGGUUUAUUAAGAACAUUUAAAAUGCCUUUGAGAUGACAAAAGUUAAGACUCAUUGUCCUUAGGUUUGCCUCCUAAGGUUAGAAGUUUAUGCUCCCCCAUAAUCAAUCCUGUUAACAUUUCUCUCUCUCUAAUAUUUUUUCAUUCAUUCACCAAUUUACUUUCAUCCUGGUCAGGCUCUGUCCUCCCUUCUUUUCCAGCAUGUCCGUGCACUUGCUGUAGACUCCACACCCUUCAGUAUGGCAACACAACUACUUAAUCCUUAGAGGAUGUGCAGCCAAUCAAGGUGACUAGAGGCCUGCCAGGAGAGUUUACUAAAAGAUUUCAUUUCUCGGGUAUUCAGAAACCCUUGGAACCUUGAAACCCUUGGAACAGGAGUUACAGACAUGAACUGCUGUGUGGGUGCCGGGAAAUGAACUCAGGUCUUCUGGAAGAACAGCCUGGCUUCCUGACUCAUCAGUCUAGCCCCUGGAUUAUUUUUCAAGACAUUUCUCAUAUGUGCCUUAAAGAAUACUAGAAUUGUAUCUUAUAAGUAUAUCUUAAAGGGCAUUGUCUCCUGGAAGAAAGGUUUAUUGCAUACAGAAAUCAAUAGUCUAAAAGUAAUUAAAAUGUUUUUAUGUAUGCAAAA